UACGUAGGGUGCGAGCGUUGUCCGGAAUUAUUGGGCGUAAAGGGCUCGUAGGCGGUUUGUCGCGUCGGGAGUGAAAUCCACUGGCUUAACUGGUGGCUUGCUUUCGAUACGGGCAGACUGGAGGUAUGCAGGGGAGAACGGAAUUCCUGGUGUAGCGGUGAAAUGCGCAGAUAUCAGGAGGAACACCAGUGGCGAAGGCGGUUGCCUGGGGCUUUGCUGACGCUGAUGCGCGAAAGCGUGGGGAGCGAACAGG
rnacentral:rRNA from 1 species